GGUCAAGCGAAUAAGUGCAUGUGGUGGAUGCCUUGGCGAUCACAGGCGAUGAAGGACGUAGUAGCUUGCGAAAAGCUGCGGGGAGCUGGCAAACGAGCUUUGAUCCGCAGAUGUCCGAAUGGGGAAAACCCGGCCCGUAUGGGUCAUCCCUUGCUGAAUACAUAGGCAAGGGAGGCGAACGCAGUGAACUGAAACAUCUAAGUAGCUGCAGGAAAAGAAAUCAACCGAGAUUCCCAAAGUAGUGGCGAGCGAAAUGGGAACAGCCUUGUACUCUUUAGCAGUAUUGUUAGCGGAACGGAAUGGAAAGUCCGGCCAUAGUGGGUGAUAGCCCCGUACGCGAAAACAGUAUUGUGGAACUAGGUGUACGACAAGUAGGGCGGGACACGUGAAAUCCUGUCUGAAGAUGGGGGGACCAUCCUCCAAGGCUAAAUACUCGUGAUCGACCGAUAGUGAACCAGUACCGUGAGGGAAAGGCGAAAAGAACCCCGGGAGGGGAGUGAAAUAGAUCCUGAAACCGCAUGCAUACAAACAGUCGGAGCCUGGAAACGGGUGACGGCGUACCUUUUGUAUAAUGGGUCAGCGACUUACAUUCAGUGGCAAGCUUAACCGAUUAGGGAAGGCGUAGCGAAAGCGAGUCCGAAUAGGGCGUUCAGUCGCUGGGUGUAGACCCGAAACCAAGUGAUCUAUCCAUGGCCAGGUUGAAGGUGCGGUAACACGUACUGGAGGACCGAACCCACUAACGUUGAAAAGUUAGGGGAUGAGCUGUGGAUAGGGGUGAAAGGCUAAACAAACUUGGAAAUAGCUGGUUCUCUCCGAAAACUAUUUAGGUAGUGCCUCGUGUCUCACCUUCGGGGGUAGAGCACUGUCAUGGUUGGGGGGUCUAUUGCUGAUUACCCCGCCAUAGCAAACUCCGAAUACCGAAGAGUGCAAUCACGGGAGACAGACAUCGGGUGCUAACGUCCGGUGUCAAGAGGGAAACAACCCAGACCGCCAGCUAAGGUCCCUAAGAUUGGCUAAGUGGGAAACGAAGUGGGAAGGCUAAAACAGUCAGGAGGUUGGCUUAGAAGCAGCCACCCUUUAAAGAAAGCGUAAUAGCUCACUGAUCGAGUCGUCCUGCGCGGAAGAUGUAACGGGGCUAAGCCAGUCACCGAAGCUGCGGAUGCACGUAAGUGCAUGGUAGGAGAGCGUUCUGUAAGCCUGUGAAGGUGUCUUGUAAAGGAUGCUGGAGGUAUCAGAAGUGCGAAUGCUGACAUGAGUAGCGAUAAAGGGGGGUGAAAGGCCCCCUCGCCGUAAGCCCAAGGUUUCCUACGCAACGUUCAUCGGCGUUAGGGUGAGUCGGCCCCUAAGGCGAGGCAGAGAUGCGUAGCUGAUGGGAAGCAGGUUAAUAUUCCUGCACCGUCGUAUGAUGCGAUGGGGGGACGGAUCGCGGAAGGUUGUCCGGGUGUUGGAAGUCCCGGUCCCUACAUUGGAGAUGGCACUUAGGCAAAUCCGGGUGCGUGAUUCAAGGGUGUGGGGCGAGCGACGUUAGGUCGCGAAGCAAUUGGAAGUGGUUCCAAGAAAAGCCUCUAAGCUUCAGUCAUACGAGACCGUACCGCAAACCGACACAGGUGGGCGAGAUGAGUAUUCUAAGGCGCUUGAGAGAACUCGGGAGAAGGAACUCGGCAAAUUGGUACCGUAACUUCGGGAUAAGGUACGCCCUUGUAGUUUGACUGGCUCGCGCCAGAAGGAUGAAGGGGUUGCAAUAAAAUGGUGGCUGCGACUGUUUAAUAAAAACACAGCACUCUGCAAACACGAAAGUGGACGUAUAGGGUGUGACGCCUGCCCGGUGCCGGAAGAUUAAAUGAUGGGGUGCAAGCUCUUGAUUGAAGUCCCGGUAAACGGCGGCCGUAACUAUAACGGUCCUAAGGUAGCGAAAUUCCUUGUCGGGUAAGUUCCGACCUGCACGAAUGGCGUAACGAUGGCCACACUGUCUCCUCCCGAGACUCAGCGAAGUUGAAGUGUUUGUGAUGAUGCAAUCUCCCCGCGGCUAGACGGAAAGACCCCAUGAACCUUUACUGUAGCUUUGCAUUGGACUUUGAACCGAUCUGUGUAGGAUAGGUGGGAGGCUUUGAAACCGGGACGCUAGUUUCGGUGGAGCCGACCUUGAAAUACCACCCUGGUUUGUUUGAGGUUCUAACCUUGGCCCGUGAAUCCGGGUCGGGGACAGUGCAUGGUAGGCAGUUUGACUGGGGCGGUCUCCUCCCAAAGUGUAACGGAGGAGUUCGAAGGUACGCUUGGUACGGUCGGACAUCGUACCUAAAGUGCAAUGGCAAAAGCGUGCUUAACUGCGAGACCGACAAGUCGAGCAGGUGCGAAAGCAGGACAUAGUGAUCCGGUGGUUCUGUAUGGAAGGGCCAUCGCUCAACGGAUAAAAGGUACUCUGGGGAUAACAGGCUGAUACCGCCCAAGAGUUCAUAUCGACGGCGGUGUUUGGCACCUCGAUGUCGGCUCAUCUCAUCCUGGGGCUGUAGCCGGUCCCAAGGGUAUGGCUGUUCGCCAUUUAAAGAGGUACGUGAGCUGGGUUUAAAACGUCGUGAGACAGUUUGGUCCCUAUCUGCCGUGGGCGUUGGAAUCUUGACGGGGGCUGCUCCUAGUACGAGAGGACCGGAGUGGACGUACCGCUGGUGUACCUGUUGUCUCGCCAGAGGCAUCGCAGGGUAGCUAUGUACGGAAGAGAUAACCGCUGAAAGCAUCUAAGCGGGAAACUCGCCUGAAGAUGAGGAUUCCCUGGAGACUUGAUCUCCCUGAAGGGUCGUUCGAGACCAGGACGUUGAUAGGCUGGGUGUGGAAGCGCAGUAAUGCGUUCAGCUAACCAGUACUAAUUGCCCGUGCGGCUUGAUCCU
rnacentral:rRNA from 1 species